AUCGGAAAAUUGCUUAUCCGAACCAAUCAGACAACUUGUUUAUAUAAUAUCACCAUGGAGAUAUUUUUCUUGUAUAAAUUAAUGAGAUCUACAGUGUUAAAUCAGUUGCAUCAUAGUUGCGGAAGAAGUAACACCGUAGAGUUUCAAAGAAGUUCAUAUUGUGUUUCCGUUGGAUUUGGAUAAUAUAUCUGUAUAAGACAACAUCAUGCCUGUUUCUCAGUUUACCUGUGAAGAUUGUGGCAAAAGCUUCACACGUCAAUCGAAUUUACAUCGACAUCGAAGAACUACCCACCAUGUAGACACUUUCAGCUGUUCUACCUGUGGGAGGCGUUUCAACAGAAGGGAUAAUUAUCUACGCCAUACAAGGAAUCAUAUUAGAAUUCCAGAUCAAGGAUCUCCACCGAUAGUUGGUUCUGAACUAUUAACCGACUCACAAAUCCAAGAAAGCAUCCAAAAAGAAAAUGUGUGCCCCAACUUUCAAAAUCAAGUGGGGAGUGGCAUACCACCAAAUGACCCUCAAGGUUCUCAAUUUGGUGAUACAAGAAAUGAUAGAGAAGACUGCAUCACUUCAGAAGAAGCUAUUCAUGGGAACCUGAAAAAGAUAUCCAUAUCGGCUGACGAUCAAACCAAAUAUGACCCUUUGACAUUUCUCAAAUCGAAAGAAGAGAAAGUGAGAUCUGUCCUGCAGAACGAACGCACCAAACGAAAAAGAAUGAAGUUUUACCUCACCUUAC